UAUACCCAACACCAGUCUCCCUACUUCCGAGUUCGAGUUUCGAAUGAAGGAAGUAUAGAGAAAUUUUUACAGCCGAAGUUGCCCCCUUGAAUCCUGCGCGCGACCGCCUUCAGAUAUCUUGGCAUUUAAUGCGUGCAUGCCGGAGUCUUUUCAAAUCGAGGUGCUCCGAAGAGACUUUUCAGAAUUCCCACUGGAGCACAGUCCCAAGUGCCAUGCAAUAAUGGCCCUGUCAGC
rnacentral:lncRNA from 1 species